rnacentral:lncRNA from 1 species
CUCUUUCUGAGAUCUUUACUUUUUCUUAUUUUCCUCAAAAUUCUUACGGUUUACGUUUUUCUUUGAGAAAUAACUCUCAACAUGGUCGUCUUAGCUGCGAUAAAGCUUGAUUUCUUGGCCUCCUUUUCUUUGGAUUUUAUUUGACACCUUCACCAAUGCCACACUUUUUUGAACAUAGGGAUUGCAUUUCUUUAGAGUCUGUACGAAAUCGAAAGAUUUUGAAAUUCAGAAAUCAAAGUCAUUUUGGGGUCGAUGCUCUUGCUAUGUUGGUAAUCUGAUGGGAAAGAAAUUGCACCCUUUCUUUUAAAAUAUAUUUUGUAGGUGACUCAGCUUUUGGAGAAAAAUUUCAAAGACGACUUCAUGGCUUUCGGAAACAUCCUACACAUCCUGUAACAAAUUUAUCACCUGUCCUAAUUACAUAUGAUCUCUGUUGUUGCCUUUCUUUUCAUAGAAAUACAAAAUGCUAACAAUUUCAUUCUCUUUGUUAUGAAAAACAAGGAAAAUAAAAAAUUAAUGGAUGCCUGAUCUCCCUCUCCCUCAAAUUGUCAAAUAAACAAAUAAUUGAAAUACUGAUGCUGUUUAACACACUUUCAAAGGUUAGUACUUGCCUGGAUGACUACUUAGAAGCAGGUAUUUUCAAUGUGUGAUUGUUGCAUAAUUUUUGUUUUCUGUAUUUAAUGUUUUUAUUGACUGUUUAAAAUAUUGAAAUUGCUUUUAUUAUUUUUCUGGUUAAACACAAAGUCAUUUGUAGGAAAUGCAGCUUGUACUUUUACCAUUAGACUUACUUUGUAUGUGACGUUAUUUAUUUUUGGGCUAAAUUUUUAUUUUAUGUUUGUUGAGUUUUUCUUACCAGUGUAUUACAAAAGAGGAUUUUGAGCUUACCAGAGUUACGCUGGUGGAUGUUAAAGGAGAGAUGGACUUCAUAUUACUGGUUUCUGCUUUCUUCUUCAUGAUUAACUAGUCCCCCCCCCCCCACCCCAACCCACUAUUCAGUUAUUGUAAUACUCGAGAAUAAGAAAACUAUAUACAUUGGUCAAUGUUAUGGGUUACGGGUAUCUUAUUUUCAUUAAUAACACUUUUGAUUGCCAUAGCAUACGGUAACACAAUUGGGUCAUCAGAUGAUAUCGUUGCUUACAUGUGAGUAGCCUUCCGGUAAAAAAGUAUCAGAUACAGUGUCACCUCAGAACUAAAGGAGAUACUCAGUUGUAUCAAAUGUAUAGCCAAAAGUGUAUAGUCUACCUCAUAAUGCCAUGCUCAUUAUCUGCACUGGACAUGGAGACACAGCAGUUGGAAUAGGUAAGUAGUAGUAUGGCUUUUAUAAACUGAUUGUUUUCCACUCUCUCUUUGCGUUUUCUUUUCCUCAUUUCUUUUUGGGUUAUGAGAGUGGACUUCAAAUUUUGUAUUGGCUAGUAUAAUGUUUUGAAGUCAAGUGAAGAAGUGCCACAUCAUACUACCUCCGUCCCAUAAGGAUAUGUUUGGUUUCCUUUUUUGUAUGUCCCAAAUUAUAAGUCACUUUCCUUAUUAAAAGUACCAUUAUUUAAUGUAGGUCUAAGAUGAAAAUUGUAAGAAAAUUUUAUAUUAUCAACUAUACAUUUUUUAAAUAUGAGUGAAAAUAGAAACAAGCUUAUUUUUAUGUGACGGAGAUGAUAUUAUUUAAUUUUCUUUAACGUUAAACUUAAAAUGUAAAUAAAAUGUUGCAUGAUAUAUCAAGAUGUUAACUUUAUGAUGCUUAUAAAAAUUUAGUACGAACCAUUAAUACGUCCAUGAAGAAAUAUAUAAGCUAAAUUAGGACUUUAAAGGGUUGUUUUAUUCCAUUCAUAAAUGAUCUUCAACAUGCUAUCUGUGUAAAGGGUCCAUCAUGUGCUGAUCCAACUUGGUUAGAGCAGGAAAAUGCAACUUUUUUUCUCAGAUUUUAGCCUUUGUGAUUAAAACUCAGUAUGCGUUUAAUUUUAAUAGGAGCGAUGCUUUUCCCGGUUCAGAGUUCUUUGAAAACAGAGGAACUCUUGAAAUAAUGAAUGGCGUUCAUUGGACCAUGUGUACAAAAAAUUAAGCAAUCUGCAGUUUGCAUGGAAAUCUUGCAAGGAUUUUAUACAGCAUUUUCCUGAAUAGAAUCUUCUUUAUUUUUCUCUUAAAGCUGAAGGUAAUGAAUCGAUUUACAAAUCCAAUCCCAAUGUCUUGAUUUCGGCUGAAUACAUCAUGUGCCCGUAUAUAUGUGUGGUUGAUUUUGAUAACGGUAGAUAUAUGAAAAUUAGAUUUUUAGUAGAUUUCGAUAAUAGUAGAUGAAAUGUGUGGUUAAGAAAUUAAUAAAAGUUGUGAAUCUCAUGAUAUGUGUUUUUAAAUUAAUUAUUGAUUUUGACCGAUUUUUAUCAAUUUUUUUAGCUAAACCAAACAUGGGCUUAAUACAUUGUAUCAUGUUAAUUGACUAUUAUAUUUGUAGCUAAUUCUUGAAGAUUACGAAAAAUCCUCUCGGAGAAAACGGAAACUUCAAUAGGCCGCGAGAAGCUUGUGAAAGCUUUGGAAGAGCCGCAGGCUCAAGCUGAAGUAGGAUUAUGUUUUGUUGGUCUCAAGCAUUGAAUUUACUUACAAUAUCUCUCUCUCUCUCUCUCUCUCUCUGUGUGUUAGGGAUAGAUUGUUUGGUUCAUUAGGACAAAUAUGUAAUUUGUCCAUUAUGAUGGGAACAAUGUUAGAAUGCUAUGAUAUGAUUUGUUGAAAUUAGAAGUUCUAUUUAAGAAGAUUUACUUCUUGGGUGUAACGCAAUUCCCUUGUGACUCAAAACUAUUAUCAUGUCUAUGUAAAUGUGGGACUACUAUUAGCACUUCUUUUUAA